rnacentral:lncRNA from 1 species
UCUGCAAGGAAAUAAAACGAAAUAUGAAUGGCGACGAAUUCAAUACGCAAAAUAAAUGUUCAGUAAUGUAAAGGAAGUAAUGGAUAAAAAAUGGCUUCAAUAUACAACAGACUAUUUGUGGAGAAGAAACUGGACAAAUUCAAUAUUCCUUAGAUUGUCAAUAUAUGGAUGGUGUAAUUUUUCAGAUUUUGUUUAAUGAAAAUUACUAAUUAAUAAACAAUCUGUGGCACAUUUUAUUAGGUUCAAAUGUCCAGCAUUAUUGUUUAGUAAUUGUAAGGUGUUUUUUUUGGAAAAUAAAUUGCAACUAACAAGUA